UCCCCCGACGCCCCGACUUCACCCAAUGCUGCUGGCCGCCGCUCCGCUCCUCCUCCACCUCGUCCUCCGCCUCACCGCGGCCGGGAACUCCUCCGCCACCGCCUUCACAUCCUCCUACUUGGCGGUGCAGCCCUCCGGCGCAGGGACAGCCAGCGGGCAGCAGCGCUGCGCCACCUCGUCUGCGUCCUCCGACCGUGCCUCCCUCACCGCGGUACGCGCUUCACUCCCAGAUUCGCCUGUGCUCUACCUGUUCCAGGAGCUUGCCGCCGCCACCACGCAGGCGCUAACCACGGCCGCGUCUCGCCCUCCGCCGUGGUUGUGUCGGACCCGGGCCUCCCGACGGCGGUUUCCGUGGGCGGCUCGGCCUCUGGGCAACUUCAGCGGCGUCCCCGGCUGCGGUGUCAAGUCGGUGCUGGAGCUGGAAGAGGGCUGUGUCACGGCAGCGAGGGAGGCGAAAGGAACAAGGAUUCAGCCUCGGCCUUGCCAUCCCCGUGCUCCUCCACAGCGACACAGCGCAAGGCCCCUGCAAUGUUGACAGCAAGCUGUGCCACUGCGUCGAACUCGUGGCCUGCUGCCCCUUCGCACUUCUCACUGAUUCACAGUAAAUCCCUUGUGUUCUUUCCCUUUGUACAUGCUAAUAUAGAAAACUGAAGCUACGUGCAUUAUGCAGUUCAGAAAUUUUUCUGCUACAAUUUAGUACAUCAUGCCUUGCUUUGUGAAAGAAUUGUUACUAAAGAUGAAAAUUGGGGAUAAAUUUGGAUAGCUCUGCCUAGUGUCUGGUUGAAUCAGUUCUAAAAAGGGUCAGGUUAAAUAAUGGUUAUAUUGUUAUGUUCCUGCUCCUAAGAUUCUUGCUAUACAGAUAUUUUGUCUCCAAAUUUCAACCGAAUGCACAUUAUGACACCAAUCUCUAUCUUAUGGCCUUACAUAUUCAGGUAAACUGAUGGUGGUGUGGCUUCCUAAAUCAAGUAACUUCUCUGAACCAAUGCAUGUGUUUUAAUUCCAUUUUUGUUCAAUAACCAAAUGUUUGGCACUGUGUCCUGUCCUGUCAUUAAUAACUUUUGUGUUUGUCGAAUUUGGCUAAGCUUAUCAUGUCAGGUUGUGACUAUUUAUGACAAAAAUUGCUGCGAGGGUCCUCUUAAAAGAUAGGCUGUCAUUGAGACUAUUUAACAUACGUCCGACUUUGUUCAAUAUUCAUUAUUUCAUAUACUUCGCUUGUGUAUUUGUUUUCUGCAGUUUCAAGAUAGGUGGCAAAUAGUAUUUCUUCUAAAUUUCCUUCACUUUUGCUAACAGGGUUCAACAGCAAAGUGAGAAAAUGGGUGACUAGCAAAGUGAGCUGGAAGACUUGAACCUGAAGUUCCAGGAAUCUGAAGUAGCAAGGGAGAACCAAAGGGGAGAGCUUGAAACUUUGAAGAAGCAAGGGGAGAGAUUUUUUUAGCUGUGAGUUCAUAGGGCUGUCUUGGCUGUUCAGUGAACUUGUUUUUUUUUGGGCUUUUUAUGAAGUGACUUGACAAGUGAUGUUGGGCUGUGAUAUGCAUAUGAAUCUGGUAGUGUUAAGAAAAGUGACAUCGUGCUUUAAUAAAUAUUAUGUGAUGUGACAUGGUAUUUUGAAUCAA